rnacentral:lncRNA from 1 species
AACUUUUUUUUUUUGGUUAAAGUUAAGAGAGAAGGGAAGUGUUUUUGGCGAUAAGAAUCCAACUCUUUCUGUUCUGUUUUGCCUCCUCCAAAAUAACAUAGAGAGUGAGCCACCAUGUCGAUUUCAAACCGUAGAUGGAGAGCAAGGUACUUAGAAGAGGAAGUCGCCUCAUGCUGCACUAGUGGAGGAUUAGAUUCAUUUCCCAAGAUUAAGGAAGCGAAUUUAGGACCAAGGAGAUGCUGAUCAAGUGGUGCAACGUAAGAUCUGCUGUCUCGUAGUCUCCUCAUCAGCAAAGCCGCAGUUUCUUGUAUUCUUGGGACAAAGUGUAGCGCGUGAAAGUUACAUCUGCACCGAAGCCUCUACUACCAAAAAAGUUUAGCACAAAGAAGCUAGCUAAUUAGAGAUAGAAAUGCAGAGGACUCAAGAAUUAUCUACCUGUAACUCAGACGGAAUUGGAUCAAAGGCUAAACGAUUUCCGAAUCCAACAAAAUGGACUACUCCGUUCUUGAGUAUUAUAGGGAGAAUAUGUUGCAUAUAGAAGUCUGGUUUGGCUUCCUUCAUCACUUCUGAAUCUGUCACCUUAAGAGAUAAAAGUGACAAAACAUAAACAAACAAACAAACAAAAAAAAAAAGAGAAAGAAAGAUGAGACUCGUCUACAUUAAGAUUUGGGAAAACUCACGAUACUGCCGAUUGCUUCAAGAUCCAAAGAUUGAAGGUUUUUUGGUAGUUCCUUUACUAUCCGAAUAUCAGGUGACAAAUACUUUAUAAAAUGUUCCACUUGGUAGAUAUCUCCAAAAUGACUAUGAAGUAUCAAAGUUCAAUACAUCCGUUACAAAUGUAAAAACAAUUCUUCUGUAUGAUUUGAAAACGGUAAGACAGGGUGAGAUAGAGGACGGAGAGCUUACAAUAGUUACCUUGCAUCUGUCCAAACGUCACUUAACAUGAACUUGGGAAUGACGAGAGAGGCAUUGAGCAAUCGGGCUACAACAACAAUGUUACAUACCUGUGAAGAAAUCCAAUGGUUAUAGUCCACUAGAGAGAUUUUAAAGAUAAGGAGAAGAAAACUUACAGCAACUCUUUGUUGAUUAAUCCCUCCGUUUGCAGUUACCAUUAUAUAUCCAUUUUUGCCAUCUAAAAAUCAUGAAAAGUAAAAAUCCAUAUUGGAAACAAGCUUUAAUCCAAUGUUAAGAGAUAAAAGGACUAUAAGAGAGACCGUCAGGUUUCCAAGAAUGUUGAUCAGCGCAAGGCUUCCAUGCCGACGCUUGUUCCCUUGGCUCCUGCCAUAACUCUUUUGGCUCAAGUUUAUUCUGAUCAAAAUCGAACACCAUUUCCAUGCAAAUUAGAAAUCGAAGUAGCAAAACAAUGUUACAGAGAAAGGAAGAUAAGAUUGGUUUUUGAAGAAUACAUUUACCUCUGCCAAAACAUGAGCAGCCAAACUCAACAUCCUACCAUAUGUUCCAUUAUAUUUCCUCUUUGGUUUUUCAAACUUCUUACGUUCUUCAUUCUGAUUCACACACCAAAAAAAAGUUAGAUCAAAAAAACUUUAAGUACAGGAAAAUUAAGCACAAUGUGAAAAGAGUGUAACACAAGAAACGUAAGUAAUUAAAGGAAACAAGUCAUUGACCUGUGAAAAAACUAGUUUUGAGUUCCGGUUAGGGUUCUUAGAGAGUCCUCUUCGAAGCCAGACACGACCUUCGUGAAGGCGAGAGAGCAUGAACCAAUUAACGAGACAAAAGAAACCCAAAAUAGCGAUAACGCCAAUGGCUGUUUUAGCCGUUCUUCUCUCGGAACAAGCGGAACAAGCUCGUAUUCUCUUCCUCUUCCCUCGCUUUACCGAUUGUUUUGGAUUCAGGUCGCCGGCUAAUGUAGAGAUCCGGGUCGGGCCUAGACGCGCACCACCGUAGACGUAAAGAUCACGUGACUCGGGUCUCUCUUCGUCGUCCAGUCUCUCUUGUCCCAUGAUCAACGAAAGACUCCUUUUCUUUGUAUCCCUCCCCCUCUCUGUGUCCGAAUCGAGAAAAGGGGAGAGAGAGAGAGAGACUAAACUAAAGGAUGUAAGAAAUUGCCAUAAAUAAGUAAGCGAAAGCUUUGCCGAAUCUAACGAUGAUAGUGAGAGUAUUUUCUUCGUUCGAAACUUCGAACAUCAUUAACGUUUGAUCUUAGUUUAAUUUUAGACCCAUAUAUGCAUGCACGUUAAAUUAUCACGUUUUCUGAAUACAGUUUAAAGCUAUAUGAACAUUGAACAGAAAAUAUACUAUACCCUUUGGUAUUUUUUCUGAAAUUAAAUCUUGAAUUUCUAAACUACAAGUACUUUGAUUAUUUUUGUCACCAACAAAAAGUAACUAAUACAACUACAUCAUAGCAAGAUGCAGCCGGAAAAAAAAACCGACUAGCUAGGUAGGUAAUGGAAUCUAUAAACUUUUUUUACUAUACAUACAAAGUAAAGUCAUACGUGAUAUUUCGCUUUCGAAUUAGCAAAUCUAGUAGAAUACAACCCAUUAACAAACAAAUCUACCAGUAGGGACUUAUUUGAAAAUUAAUCAAUUACGGGACCUUGAUGUAUCUUUAGAACCUACCAUGCAUUUGGUAUAUCUUUUAAUGGGAGUAAAGAAGAGUUGGCUAUGUAUCACAUCUAUAUUCUAGAAAGUAGAAACACUUUAAUUUUAAAGUUACACAACUACCAUAUUUGCUGAUUCUUGUAGCUCGAAGAUUUUCCUUAGGGAACCACAAGUCCACAAUCCACGAGAAAUUUGUUAUUCAAUUUAUAGACUCCAACUUUAGAACUUAAAAGUAAAUUUAGAAGCCUGAUCUUGAUGUAUCAUCUAUAAAGCCUAUCAUCAUUAGCUAUUUUUUUAAGUUGCUUAAACAAAACAAUACAUUUCGAUUCAACAAAAAGUUAUAGUUAAAAUCUUAGAAGCCAUCUUUUGUUGAUCCAUAGCUUAAAAAAUUUCGAAUAGAACCACGAAGAAUUUUGAAUUGGUCACUCAGAUUUAAGUACUUUAUAUUAAAUUUAGACUAUGUCUUCCAUAUUAUAAUUAUCUUAUAUAUUGGAGAAAAGCAAGAGAGAAAUAAACACAACCGAAACGGUACGGUACGUAGGUAACAAAUAUAGAAAGAGACCAAAUGUGAAAUUCUAGGGAAAACAGAAAAGCAAGGGAAUGGUUGCUGAUCAAGAGACGACUAUUGAGCCCCGAGCUCGAGAAGUAGCGUGUGGCUGAGAGCAUCUGAACCAGGCCCUGUGAAUUGGAUCGGACCUGCAAUAAUAUUUCCACAGAGAGUACACUAAGAAUCCAAAGACAACACGUGUUUUGCUUUAAGACAAAACAAAACUGCAACGAACCUGGGCUGAUGUAUCGGUUCUUCAAUGCCCAUUCCUCACGCAGCGAUGCAAAUUUCUUAAAAGGUGCACCUGCAGAUUCCAAAAAGUCACUUAGCAAGACCAUUAAACCGCAGGGUCAAAAACUAUAAAAAGAGAAGGGAAUCGAAGGGUCACCUUCAAGUUCCACCAUUGCUUUCUUGAUCACAGGCUUGAACUUACCUACAAGUUGACAUCAACACAGAUUGUUUAAUAUCCAUAUUUCAAAUCUGAGUAGACUCUUAUCGAUUUAUUUUCUUACCGUGUCUCCUCUCGACAUCCAUCAAGGCAGUGAGAGCAGUCCCACCUACAGUCCAGUCUUCCACAGGAGCAGCCAAGUUCCCAACCUGCGCCAAUAAAGUACUAAUCUCAAUUUAAGCAUAAACUAGUCUACCAAAAGGCUGUUUAGAUCAAGAGAUACAUGAGAAACAGAGAAAAACUGAUUCGAAUGGAAAUAGUGGAGUACAAACCGAAGAAAUCAGUCCCGUUUUCCCACUGUUGAGGAGUACUCCAGCGCCGUAACCAAGUGCAUAACAGUAUGUAGCAUCAAAGUUUGUAGGCAAGCCGCAUCUUCCUUCAUACCUGUUUCAAAUCAAUAAAUUGAGCUUGUUUCCCUCACAUAGAUAUAUAGGCAAUGUAUUAUGCAGCCAUAUAUAGGAACUUAGUUCAUUUAAAGAAAAAAACGAGAGAAAGUACCCGAAGAAAUGAGACUGUCCCAUGAAAUUUCCCUUGUAUGCACCAGCUUGCUUUCUUUUCUCCAAUUCAGUUUCAACCAUUUGAAUAAGCAUCUUCUCAGUCUCAAUCUUGGCCACCUAUCAAGAUGUACGAAAAAUAUAUAAAUAAUCCAUGAGAUAUGAAGCUAGUUGAAAUUUAAUAUGAGGUGACAAGACUAUUAUCAGUUACCUGGACAUUUCCAUGUGGGUCUCUCUCGAGCAUCAGCUGCUCCUGAAUCGCUGCGGGUAGAAGAUCAAACAGCUUCAAGGAUUGCUCUGUGAGCUUCUUCUUCCACUGCCCAUCUUCAUCAACAACCUCAUUUGCCAAAAUCUCAUUCAGUUCUGCGAUCAGCUCUUGGACCUAAGAAGUCAUAAAUUACAGAACACAUCAGAUAAGAAUACAAUUAUAUUAAUCGGCUUGAAAGUGGUAUAUUCUAAUAUCAGACACAAAAACACACCUCGGGGAUAAAAUCGAUCAGACCUUCUGGAAUCAGUAUGACACCAUAGUUGAAACCAAGUUCAGCACGUUUGCAGAUAACAUCUACCAUGUAGUCCGUGACAUUCUUCAAAGUCUGCUUCUGGGCGGACACCUGCAAAAGAGUAUUUCCAGAUCAAAAUUAAGUAAAUGUAGACUGAUUGCUACUGAGACUUGUGUGAGGUCUCUCUGAAACAAUUAUUCCAAUCUUAAUAUAGAUUAUUGGCUUCAACGGAAAAGUGUCACCAAAAUGAAUCUGAUAUGCAGUCUAAUUUUAACAUCAAUAAGACUCAAUUAACUUUAGGGAAUUUUGAAGUCAAACAAGAGCGUACCUCUUCUCCAAUAAUUGUUAUGUUAGGGUGAGUUUGUAAAGCACACUCAAGUGUAAUAUGGGAAGCAGCACGACCCAUAAGACGUACAACUGCAAUGAAAAUGUAAUACGACAUUGUAAGCAUCAGUAACAAAAAGGGCUCGUCAGAAAUAAUGCAUCUAUAAGAAUUUCUGUUAACCAUUACUUACAAUGAUAGUACUUUCCAGUUGACCUUGCAUCAAUCAUGACAUUUCCAAUCAUUUCAGAGUAGAUCUGCAUAAGCAAUAAAAUGUUUCAAUAGGCUUCUUUCAAACUAUUCUACUGGUAAAAUAAACAAACAAUUAGAUUCUUGACAAGGAAUAAAAUCAAAAGCACACAAUUAGUUAUGUAACAAUUAGUAUAGGGAAAGCAAGGAAAGUCCAGACAAAAAUUGAUCCAAACGGAAUCUCACCUUGCAAGCUGUAUCAAACCCAAAACUAGUAGGAACCUCUUUGCAUUUCAAAUCACCAUCAAUGGUCUUGGGGCAACCAAUGACUCGGGUUUUCAAGUUCUUACUCCUAAUAAUACAAGUAAAAAGCAAGUCAAAAUGCUGAAUCAGCAAAGCAUUAAAGAUUAUGUUCACAUGAAUCUUCAAGGGCAACAACUUUGGACUAGGAUAAAUAAACAGACAUGAAACAAAUUUGACUGCCAGUAUUACCUGAAGUUUUCAGCAAGGAGGCAAGCAUUGGUGUUGGAGUCAUCUCCACCGAUAACCACCAAUCCAUCCAAAUCUAGCUUCUUUGCUGUUUCUUCAGCUUGUUUAAACUGCACAUGUGAGCCAUUUAUAAUUACUCACUGCAUGGAAUGGAGACUUUGGAAGCAGUAACAAUUCUUUUUAAACCACGAAAAAUAUUCAACCUGAUCAGGUGUUUCAAUCUUGUCUCUUCCACUGCAGAUCAUGUCAAAACCACCCUGUUGAGACCAAAAGAGAAUUAUAACCACAUCGACAUAAAAAGACAAGCAUACCCAACCAAAAGGACUUAUGCUCCACUAGAUGUGGAUCAUCAUAAUGUAAAUAUUGAUUGCUUUGAUAAAAUGGUGCUGUAAGUUCUAAGAUCCCAAAUCAAUCACAAAGCUCGUGAGAAGGAUCUAUAAAGUAAACAAGCCAAGUACCUGGUUUCUGUACGGCUGAAUAUAUUCAGCAUUCAACUCAACAUAUUUGCAUUUCAUGAUACCAGCUGGACCACCCUUGAAGCCGUAAAAUGUGCUUCCUUUGGCACGCUCUUGCAAGUAAUCUAAGAGCGUAAACAAAAUUACAAAUCAGGACAAUGUCAGCUAGAAUUCGACGAAAAUCAUCAUUACACACACAAAAUGAUUCUUUGAAACCCUUACCAAACAGUCCAGAAAUGACAUUGUGCCCACCAGGUGCCUGACCACCGGACAAGACAACACCGAUCUUCAAUUUCUGUGCAGAAGAAGGUGCACUCUGAUCUGGAACCACUGCUACAGAUGGCUGGCCAUAUAGACCCGGAAACAACUUCGCUAUCUCAUCUGCAAUCAUAUCAAAGCAACUCUAAAUCCUCCAGAACACUCUAAUAAGUCUAUAAACCACAGAUCUGUAAGAAAUUUCUCAGACUCCUCUUGAGCCAUUACAUUAUCAUAAGCCAUUAAGUUUCACCAAAAUCAUACAGUUAAUCAAUUCCCUCACCAAACUAACAAGAUCUAGAUCAAGCAAACGACACACAAAUCGAAAAAAAAAAUCAUCAGAUCAGACUGAUAAAAUAAUUCAAUCUCCGAUCUCUCACCUGGAUUCCCGGCUGCGGUACUAGCGGGACCUUCGACGAUUUUGAAAGCUCCUUUAAGUACAGAAGGCAAAGGGAGAGCGUUGUUAAUACGGCUUGAUUGAACUUCGCUGUAAACCGAAGCACGUCCUUUCGCCGGAGCAUUAUCCGGAGAGCCGGCAGCGGCGGCGAGAUCUCGGGUUACGGCAAGAGCAGGGGCCAUUGCUGUGGGGUUUCUAUCGUUUUUCACCUAACUCACUUUGUAUUGUUUCGAACCUAAACUUUUACUUCCCUCCUUUCCUUCACUUCAGCGUCAAUGGAGUUCACUUCGAGGUCUCCGCAUUGGGGUUGGUGUGAAUUUAUACUCUGACUCAAGGGUAUAAUGGUCAAUUCAAAAAUCAAUCUACUCAUUCUACAAGGCAAAGGGUAUUUUAGGGAUAUAUCGUUAGCGGCAUGUAUGUUACUAUGUUCAUAUCUUAAGGCCCAAUAAAUUAUAUGGGCUUUUCAGCCUUAAUAUUUAUAUCCUAUUUCAAUGUUUUGCAAUUUCAGAAUUAAAUGCAUACUCAAUUACUCAUACCGCAUGAUUCAUUUCAUACGACGAGCACACACAUGCGUAGACACGCAAACACAAUUAACCAAGAACGAUGUAUUUUAUUUGUUUACGAAAUCAUCAUAGAAUAUGAAUAUGUGAUUUCAUUAGCUUAUAUAAAAGCAGUAACAGUUCACAUUGAUCGUCGAUUAAUGUGUUUCCUUCUAAAAAGGAUUCAAUCAGCUCUAAAUGCACUUUUCUCUGUAGAAAUUUCUUAACCACAUUUACCACCUUUUGACUUUGUUGGUUAACUUCUUUCUUUUUAUAAAUAAAAGAAAAAUAUACGAAUGUGUGUAAUGUUUGAUAUGGAUCUCUCCAUAUUCAAAGAAAAUAAGUAAUGUUAAUAUAUAAGAGACUAAAUACAAUGCAUAAGUGUAUUAUGAUGGUGUGAACAUAUUGUAAACAUAAAAUCUGAUUAGAAAACAAAAACGUUACAAUUGAGAAAGUACGUGAUUUGGAUAGAUAAACUAAAAUUUGAGAAAUUUGCUUAAUCAGGUUAAUAAAACAAACAACUCCCUUGCAUGGAAGCUACGAUCAUCAAAGGAGAAGUAGGUGGCUAUAGCCACCGACUGAAGUUUUUUCUUUCCCAUUUUUUUGUCGUCAGUAUAGUUCAGAAGACACGAGCAAGAUAAAGAUUGAUUUAUUCUCUUUGUUACAAGAUAUUUGUUUGGCACGCUUACUAUAAUCAACGUAGGCUAUUACAACUUGGAAUUAAAUAAUCACAUCUUGUGCUAUUUUUGUUACGAAAAGAGAAAGUACUAUCAUUUCAAACUUAUUUUUAUUUUAUGUUCACUUCUUAGUGAGUUGUAUACUUUUCUUACCAAACAAUUGAAUUGUUAAAACAAUGUGGAAUCUUGUUCCUCUAUUAUGGACGGAUCCAAAGAUAACAUAUUGUAAAUUAGUUGUGGCCAAGGUUUAGCUAAACCUAUAUUAUCGAAAAAGCAACCUCAUAAAUGAUAAAGUUUGACAAAAACAAUGAUCAACUUAAUUUGACAGAAAGAUUAACAUGUUUGUAUACUUUCUUCCCAAAAGAAACUAAAGUUACUGAUAAUUCAAAAGGACCAAAUCGUAAAACGUUCAAGUAUGUAUGGUUGGUAUGAAUUAGAAUGCUAAAAUGAUUUUGACGUUUCUGCAAAGUUAAAACUUUAAUUCCACAACUUUUUAUGAAGAAACAUAAAAACACCUCAUCGUACAACAUAUUUUCAGACAAGUUAAAACUAAAUUUAUCAUUUCAGUCACUAAAACUUAUUUUUAUAUUUGUGUGUACGCAUUUUACAAUGAUACGUUAGUAUAACUAGAUAAUCAAAUCAAUAUAUAUUGCUAUUUAUCCAGAUCGAUCGUAUACUACACACUAUCCCUAGCCUUUCUUUUGCAUAUACAACGACUCCACAAAGCACCAGUCGAUAAGAAUCUUCGAGCCUUUUCUCAAUUUCCCUUACUUGUACGAACCUUAUAAACAAUUUAUUCACGCUAAUCAAGAAGAAAAUAAAUUAACCAAUAGAAUUGCACAAUUAGAGAUACAAAUGGAAAGCAUCAAAGUUUAUCCUAUCUCAAAAGCAGGAGAGCAGCUAGGCUCCCACCAAUUAUGUUGCACACAAUCAUAUACAACUUCCACAAACUCCUUUAACAAGAAAGAAAAAUUAAUUUUAUAUUUACCAACUUUAUUCUGAAUGACACAAUUAUAUGAUCAUACGACUCUAUGAUACUUAUCUAUCGUUUUCAUUAUUUUAUUUUAUUACGCCUAUAAAUAACGACCCUCUAUCAACCCUUCAACUCACACAUUUAGCAUCAUCAAGUAUCAGAAACUCAAGUUGUCAGUAAAAUACAGAGAGUUUACAGACAGAGAGAGAGAGAGAGAGAGAGAUGGAGAAGAACAUUAAGUUUCCAGUUAUAGACUUGUCUAAGCUCAAUGGUGAAGAGAGAGACCAAACCAUGGCUUUGAUCGACGAUGCUUGUCAAAACUGGGGCUUCUUUGAGGUUCUUUUCUCUCUUUUAUUGUCCUUCUUUGUUAGAACUCCUUUGGUAUCGUCACAUAUAUAAAACUUACUAUAUGAAACAAUAUAUCAAAUCAUUUUUCUCUUUUUGGGACGUUAUAAUUCUUAAGUCUUGAAACUGUUUCAGCUGGUGAACCAUGGACUACCAUAUGAUCUAAUGGACAACGUUGAGAGGAUGACAAAGGAACACUACAAGAAACAUAUGGAACAAAAGUUCAAAGAAAUGCUUCGAUCCAAAGGUUUAGAUACUCUUGAGACCGAAGUCGAAGAUGUUGAUUGGGAAAGCACUUUCUACCUCCGCCAUCUCCCUCAAUCUAAUCUCUACGACAUCCCUGACAUGUCAAACGAAUACAGGUACACACAAAAUAUAUAGAUUUAGCCUCAAAAUCACAGCUCACAUGCAUGAAAAGAAAAACUAAACCAUUCAUUUGUUUUCGAUGUUUCUUUAACAGAACGGCGAUGAAGGACUUUGGGAAGAGGGUGGAGAAUCUAGCAGAAGAGCUGUUGGAUUUGUUGUGUGAGAAUCUUGGAUUGGAGAAAGGAUACUUGAAGAAAGUGUUUCAUGGGACAAAGGGUCCAACUUUUGGGACAAAGGUUAGCAACUAUCCACCAUGUCCUAAACCGGAGAUGAUCAAAGGGCUUAGGGCUCACACGGAUGCAGGAGGCCUCAUUUUGCUAUUUCAAGACGACAAGGUCAGUGGUCUUCAGCUUCUCAAAGAUGGUGAGUGGGUUGAUGUACCUCCUCUCAAGCAUUCCAUUGUCAUCAACCUUGGUGACCAACUUGAGGUACAACAAUUAUCAUCCUUCGUUAUAUAUAACCAAAAAAACCUUAUCUUACUCACAAAAAUGUGACUAGGUGAUAACAAACGGGAAGUACAAGAGUGUAAUGCACCGAGUGAUGACACAAAAAGAAGGAAACAGGAUGUCUAUCGCGUCGUUCUACAACCCGGGAAGCGAUGCCGAGAUCUCCCCUGCACCAUCUCUUGUGGAUGACAAAGACUCAAAGUACCCGAGCUUUGUGUUUGACGACUACAUGAAACUCUAUGCGGGACUCAAGUUUCAGCCCAAGGAGCCAAGGUUCGAGGCGAUGAAGAAUGCUGCAGCAGCCGCGGAGUUAAAUCCCGUGGCAGCCGUCGAAACAUUCUAAACUGGAUGUGGGAUACUCUAUAUAUGAAGGCUACAAAGAUAUGAAGAUAACAAAAAUAUGGGUUUGAUAUGGUGUGGUAUUAGUAAUUUCAAUAAGUGAAAAGAGUGUUUAAGGAUUGGUAAUGUUAGUAAAAUCAAGAAGUUAGAAGUAUGUGAUGGAAUCUAGUGUGUGUUAACUAAACAUAAAGCAAGCGUGGGAGUGCUUUUUUAUGUAUGCAAUAAUUGUGUGGUUUAAAUAUCGAAGAUGAAUGAAACUAAGGGGGUGUUAUUCAACCUUGUAUUUUAAUUGAUUUGGAUGUAUUUCAAAAUCUAGCGUUAUUUAAUGAUGUAUUUUAAAAACCACAAUAAAAUCUGCUGUUAUUGGAUUUAACAUUUGUUGGAUGUAUUUUAAAGUACUUUAAAACAAGCGUUAUUCAAUUUUCAAUGGAUUUUGUUUCAUUUAAGAUUUUAAUGUAUUUUACAUCUAAAACACGUACAAACACAAUCCUAACAAUUUUCAAAGUAUUUCAUCUCUUUCACACCAAAUCCAUCUUAAUUGUAUUUAAAUGCUAUUGAACUUUAAAAUCCACCGGUAAUUAAAAUCCCUUAAAAUUCUCCAUCCAAUAACACCCCCUAAG